UAUGCAGUGUGUGCCAGGGUGUGUGUGACUGUGCACAUGUGCCCAGGGUGUGUGACUCCUCUGCACGUGUGUGUGCCAGUGUGUGUGUGACUGUGCAUGUGUGUGCCAGUGUUCAUGGCUCUGUGUGCACACACAGCUGCUGAGGUGCACACGUGUGCCAGUGUGCAUGUUUGUUUGCAUGUUGUGUUUUCUGGUGUGCCCAGAAGUGAGUGCACACACCCUGCUUUGCACAGUGUCCAGGUGUGCUGGUGAGCACAGCACUGUGCACACGGACGUGCUGACGUGCACACGUGAUGUGUGCACGUGUGUGGAAUUGCACACUCUUGGGUGUGUGUGGGUCUGUGCACAGCUCUGUGCCUGUGGGUGUGCACAGGCUCUGCAGGUGUGAGCAUGGCCCUGUGUGGGACAUGCCUGUGUUGAUAUGUAUGACACUGCACACAUAGGUGUGCACAGGCUCUUCAUUCACGUGUUGGUGUGCACAUGUUGGUGCGCACAGCUCUGUAUGCAUGUGUUGGUGUGCCCGUGUUGAUGUGCACAGGCUCUGUGUGCAAGCAGGUCUGUGCUUGUGGGCACGCGUGCAUUGCCCCAGGCCGUACACAGGUGUGUGCACAGUGUCUGUGUGGCACACGUGUGCUGGUGUGUGCAGGCUGGGUGUGCACAGCUGUGUAUGUGUGUGUGUGUGUGUGUGUGUGUGUGUGUGCAGGUGUGUGCUGCUGGCAGGUCCCGCUGUGCACUGGCUCUGCACAUGUCCCUGUGUGCACACAGGGCCCAGGGACGUGGCUCUGGCACAGCUCUGGAUCCACAGCUCCGUGCAUCCAGCUGCUGUCCCACCUGGGCAAACAGACGUGUCUGUGUGUCUGGCUGUGUGUCUGUGUGUCUGUGUGUGUGUCACUACUGAGCUCUGCUGGCUGGAGUGGCCCCUGGCUCUCUGUGUACUCUCGGUUCUCGUGGCCGAACCGAACGCCCAGGACAGGGUGGGUGUGUCCCCUCUCCUGUCCCUGUCCCCACCGUGUCGUGACAAUCCCAGGGGCUGCCGGUGGUGCUGCCGAUGUUGUCCUUGUCCCCACCACGCCCCUGAGCCCCCACAGCUGUCCCCACCCCUCCCAGCUCGCUGCAGACUGGCAUCCGUGGCAGAGAUGGUGAGAGCCCAGCCGAGGGCACGGGAGCAGCCUGGACCCGCUGCCAUCGCUCCAGGACAGUGGUGGGCUGUGACACGGGACAGUGCUGGGCUGUGACACAGCACAUGCCAUGGCAAAGGGACACCCGGUGUGUGUGCCUGGCACCGCUGCCAGGCCCGUGGUGGCUUUGCCACACUUGUAUCCCCACGCCGGGGCCGAAGGACCCAGCUCCGAUUGCACUUGUCCCAAAAUAAAGCUCUAUUUUUGUUGUACUCCA
rnacentral:lncRNA from 1 species